UACGUAGGGCGCAAGCGUUAUCCGGAAUUAUUGGGCGUAAAGAGCUCGUAGGCGGUUUGUCGCGUCUGCCGUGAAAGUCCGGGGCUCAACUCCGGAUCUGCGGUGGGUACGGGCAGACUAGAGUGAUGUAGGGGAGACUGGAAUUCCUGGUGUAGCGGUGAAAUGCGCAGAUAUCAGGAGUAACACCGAUGGCGAAGGCAGGUCUCUGGGCAUUAACUGACGCUGAGGAGCGAAAGCAUGGGGAGCGAACAGG
rnacentral:rRNA from 1 species